UGGGGAAUAUUGCACAAUGGGCGCAAGCCUGAUGCAGCCAUGCCGCGUGUAUGAAGAAGGCCUUCGGGUUGUAAAGUACUUUCAGCGAGGAGGAAGGCAUUAAGGUUAAUAACCUUGGUGAUUGACGUUACUCGCAGAAGAAGCACCGGCUAACUCCGUGCCAGCAGCCGCGGUAAUACGGAGGGUGCAAGCGUUAAUCGGAAUUACUGGGCGUAAAGCGCACGCAGGCGGUUUUGUUUAAAGUCAGAUGUGAAAAUCCCCGGCU
rnacentral:rRNA from 1 species